rnacentral:lncRNA from 1 species
UAGAAGGAGCCAUAGACAAAUACAACAUAAAAUUUAUAUAAGUCAUUUCUAAAAUCUAAUCUACUCUCUUACACAACAGCUUUAAGGAGUCAGAUUGCUAGCUCUGCACUGCAUGGAGUCAGAAUGGUGAUUAAUUUGCUCAUAGCAUAUUUUACUUCUAAUAUGCAACCUCACUGUCAAACCUCCACAUUCUUUGCCUUGGAUUAAUGGACAUUGAUCGUGGCAUAUUGAUUCCUUCCAUCAUAGGUUGCUGAUGCUCUGCAACUGUUCUGCAGUUUUCAGUGACAGCUUGUGGCUUUCUUCUGCACCAUGUCUGCACAUUACAGGUGAAGAUACCUUCCACUGAGAUGCCAUCAUGAAGUGCCGACAGCAGCCCAUUUGCAUGGAGCUGCCAGAGGAGCUGCGUCAGCUGGCAGACAUGCAGAAACUGAGAAGGGAGAAAGUAAUAGAAGACUACAGAAUGAAUGAGGAUGGUCUUUUGAUCCAACCAGCCAUGGAAUUUAAUAGAGGGAAACAAUCCACAGAAGGAUAGAAACUACAGAGAUGAUGUCGAUUUAUUUCCCACAAAAAAAAAAAAAAAAGGCAGGGUCUCACAACACAUCCUUCAACAAUCAAGGAUAUACUUUUUCAAAGCAGCACUUGAAACUCAAAUUCAUGUGGUAAAAUCUGUGGGAGGACCUUAAACCGUUCUCAAGCAGACUGUAUGAAUUUAAUUUCUGACACAGGUGAUUUGAUGAGCUUAGAUUGGAUGUUUGGAGACAUCCAAGUGAAAAAAGAGGCUACUCCCCUUGCAGAGGUGUCAAACAAAAGCUCCUGACUUUACAAUGAGAGGUAAUUCAACAUUCCACUGUCAAAUGGAAAUAACCAUGGUCUAUCUUUUGGAGGAAAUUCCUGCUGUGUCUGACCUUCUCUAGGUCUAUUUUUGAGAUCCAUUUUUUCCAAGAGAUAUUUUUGAAGAGUGACUUUUAUUUUUCUUGCAUUGUUAACAGACCACUUUCUUAAACUGUAUUAGUUCUUUCGCUACCUGCUGCAGGUAUGUAAAACUCAUUAGAGCAGCUUCCUGCUGGAAGAUGCAGACCAUCACCACCACCGUUGUUUGCCACGCUGCCGCAUCCAGCUCUGUGGAUAAGGCUGUAAGCUCUGUGCUGUGUGGUGUGUGUAAAAAGCACUUUAGGAGGUAUAGACCAGUCCCUCCCCAUUCAAAAUAAAGUAUUAGGGCAAAACUACUGCUCUACCA